CUCGGUUAGUAUAGUGGUUAGUAUCCCCGCCUGUCAGGACGCGGGAGACCGGGGUUCAAUUCCCCGACCGAGAG
rnacentral:tRNA from 2 species